rnacentral:antisense_RNA from 1 species
CCCUGUCGGGUUUUACCUCCCCCUGGGAGAGCUCAGCCCUGGAUCCCGGCGUGCGGCGGAGCCUCUCUGGAGCCCGGACGGGACAGCCCACCAGGGUCUGCUUCUGUGAGGGGCCGAGGCGUCAUUCCGCGAAGGAAGCUGCUGGAAGGUACACAUCUUGGGAGUUUGCCCUUUGAAGCUCACCUGUGGACCUUUUUUCCUUUCGAAAAGCAGCAUAAGCUGCAAUAAAAAUUUGGUUUCAAGAUAACAAAGUCAGUCCCCAAAAAUCAGUAUUGAGAGUCACUGACAUUAAAUGAUGAAGAUACAAGGAUGGUGUGGGGACCUUUACUCUUCAAAGAUGAGCUAUACAUUCCCCUGAAAAGGCUGUCUGAAGACAGGGGAAGGCUGGAGAUGGCAACUUUGGCCUCUGCCAAGUACUCGUGCUAUUUUCUGUAUGUGAUACUAUCUGUUUUGUAACUCAGAGGCAACACCACAUACCUAGCAUAAGGCUUGAACUCCCUUUGGGGUUAUCAAUUACUUACAUAGCCUUCCUCUAAGGGAAGGCUUGCAAGUGGUUCAUAUUCGACCCUUCCAUGUGAUAAGCAUUCAUGUGGGCUUCACAAUGUAACAGAGGUACACAGAGAUUCUUGUAAACAGAAAAUUUUAUAAAACUGUUAACUGA